rnacentral:rRNA from 1 species
UACGUAGGGGGCAAGCGUUGUCCGGAAUCAUUGGGCGUAAAGCGCGUGUAGGCGGCUCGGUAAGUCCGCUCUGAAAGUCCGGGGCUCAACCCCGGGAGGCGGGUGGAUACUGUCGAGCUCGAGUCCGGAAGAGGCGAGUGGAAUUCCUGGUGUAGCGGUGAAAUGCGCAGAUAUCAGGAGGAACACCGGUGGCGAAAGCGGCGCGCUGGAUCCCUACUGACGCUGAGGUACGAAAGCCAGGGGAGCAAACGGG